CAGGUUCCGAAUGCUUAAGAAGACACUACAUACUACUGCUGUGUGUGGUAGUAGUGGGGUGUACUGUGGCUGUCGUAAGUCUGUUUGCCCAGAAAAACAAUCAAAUUGCACAGACACAGCAGUCAAAUAUUGAAACCUCUGCGGCAGAGAGAGAAGAGAUGAAGUCUCUGAAAUCAGAGGACUACAGCGUUCUUCUAAAUAUGAUUUUAAAGCAGGAAGGGUGGAAGUAUAUCAACUCGAGUUUGUACUACAUCUCUACUGAGACCAAGUCCUGGGGUGAGAGCAGACCUUACUGCCAACGGAAGGGAUUGGACCUGGUGACCAUAAACAGCAAAGACGAAGAGGACUUUCUCCUUGAAGUGGUCCGUGCAAAGCAUUUGGAUGUAGCCUGGAUUGGUUUUUCUCCCAACAACACAAAGGAGAUAUCUACACGGGUGAAGAGAGGUGCGGGGUCAGAAGAAGGUGCUCAGGAAGAGGACUGUGCUAAGCUUACGGUAUACGAGACACCUGCAGUGAAAGAACUAACCGGGAGACGAUGUGGGACAAAACAAUACUGUAUUUGUGAAAAAUACCUGGAUGUCAAAUACAAUGUAAGCAAGAGAAACCGUUAACUGGUUCUUCUGAAAGGAUUCGACUUUUUAAAAUGGAGGGAACGACUGCUAGCUUCAACGUUUCUUUUUAAAAAUGGAGGGAACAACUGCUAGCUUCAACUCUUCUUUUUAAAUGGAGGGAACAACUGCUAGCUUCAACUCUUCUUUUUUAAAUGGAGGGAACAACUGCUAGCUUCAACUCUUCCUUUUUAAAAAUGGAGGGAACAACUGCUAGCUUCAACUCUUCCUUUUUAAAAAUGGAGGGAACAACUGCUAGCUUCAACUCUUCCUUUUUAAAAAUGGAGGGAACAACUGCUAGCUUCAACUCUUCUUUUUUAAAAAUGGAGGGAACAACUGCUAGCUUCAACUCUUCCUUUUUAAAAAUGGAGGGAACGACUGCUAGCUUCAACUCUUCUUUUUUAAAAUGGAGGGAACAACUGCUAGCUUCAACUCUUCCUUUUUAAAAAUGGAGGGAACAACUGCUAGCUUCAACUCUUCCUUUUUAAAAAUGGAGGGAACAACUGCUAGCUUCAACUCUUCCUUUUUAAAUGGAGGGAACGACUGCUAGCUUCAACUCUUCUUUUUUUAAAUGGAGGGAACAACUGCUAGCUUCAACUCUUCUUUUUUAAAUGGCGGGAACGACUGCUAGCUUCAACCCUUCUUUUUAAAUGGAGGGAACGACUGCUAGCUUCAACUCUUCUUUUUAAAUGGAGGGAACAACUGCAUUUUCCAAGAAGCAACUGUUAGUCAUUCUAGUUAGGUUGGUGAGGGUUUUUUACCCUGAAAUACACAUCUGCACCGUAUAUUAAGAAAAGUUAAAAGGGUAGUUUUCUGUGGUAGGAAACCCCCCCUGCAUUGUUCCAAUACGCAAAAGCACUUUCAGUCAAUAAGCUUUCCAUUUUAGCCAGCCAGUUUUCAACUGAAGUCAAUGGGCAGAUUGAUUAAAAACAUUUUUUUUUUUUUAAAUAAACAUAAAUAUUUCACAUUAAUUUCACGUAAAAACAACAUUUAGUAAAACAUUGUGUUUAGACGGGGGGCUGACACAGCAGGGUAGGAACACACACCAUACACACACCAUACACACACACACAUACACACACCAUACACACACCAUACACACACCAUACACACACACCAUACACACACACACACCUUACACACACACACACCUUACACACACCAUACACACACACACCUUCAGCCUCUCUCAAGUCAUUGGUAAAGGGGUGAAGGACAAUCAGCCUCCAUCUAUACACAAUGUUUGACUAAAUGUUUUUUGUUUGACAUGAAAUUUUUCUUUAAAAAAACAAUCUGUCCAUUGACUUCAGUUAACUGGCUAAAUCUGGCACACAAACUGCAAUGUUGAUUGAUGUUCAAAUGAAAUGUAGUUUGUGCUACAAGGGUAGGCAACCCUGGUGGGUUGGAUUUAGCCAAUCACAGGGCUAAGCUAUAUUUGUAUUAGUUCCUGUUGUAUUCCAGGAACAGGGUUACCUUCCCCUGUUAUAUGUACAGAAGAGAAUGUGAAGUAUUAUAAAAUAAUACCAGUUUUAUUUUUUAUAUUUUUCAUCCUGUAAAUAAAAAUCCUUCAUUCUAA